GAGAGGUUCACCAAAGUAGCUAGCUUGUGUAGUUGGUGCAAUGUUGAUAUGUUUGCAGGGAACACAGGCUUGUUAUCGUGAGGGUUUUGUCCUGGUGUAUUUUACAUGGAUUUUGACAGACGUGUGGGACACCGUUGGACCGUUUGUUGCUUUGCACGACCAUCGGCAACACAAAGACUGUGCUUGACCCAUCAAUAUAUUGGCCCAGCACCCACUCGCUGUCAGCAUCCUUCAGCAUGGACAAGAGGAAGUGAAUGGGAAGGGUUAGCAGAUGCACAGCAGCUGCACCCAUCGAGUCCAUUGUGUAGUCCUAACUGAAUCAGUCUGCUUCAAAUUCCCCUUCCAGCCAUAUGAAACUACCACACCCAUAUCAUCAAGUCACUUCCAUUUUCUACCCCAAGUUUCUGCAGAAUUGAAAGUCGAUGUGAAAUUUAACACUAGCAAUUCUGAUAACUCUAAACUGAAGGCAGCAUUCAACAGAUGGGUGGCAAAGCUAAAUGUGAAAGCAUCCUCAAACACUUUCCAAAAACCCUGUCAAAAACAAACUGAUGUUAAACAGGCAUGUGUUUCUGUUCUUGGCUGUUCUGGACGACUUUGAGAUUGCCAUCCCUUCAUCGACAGUCCACACCUUCCUCUCUUUUGCUCCAACCUGUCCUUGAAGGACCGGGCAUGCAGUCCAUCAAAGGCCUUUUCCCUCAAUGAAUCUGCCUUCAUUCUACCCCUCCACACCAUCUUUCCCCUUCAUCUGCACCCUGUGAUGUGUUUUCUAUAAUCCUACCUGUCCCGUCCUUACAAUAAACACUGA